rnacentral:rRNA from 1 species
GACGAACGCUGGCGGCGUGUUUAACACAUGCAAGUCGAACGAUGAAGCCGGAGCUUGCUCUGGUGAAUUAGUGGCGAACGGGUGAGUAACACGUGAGUAACCUGCCCUUGACUCUGGGAUAACUGCGGGAAACUGUAGCUAAUACCGGAUACGACCCUCGGAGGCAUCUCCUGGGGGUGGAAAGAAUUUCGGUCAAGGAUGGACUCGCGGCCUAUCAGCUAGUUGGUGAGGUAAAGGCUCACCAAGGCGACGACGGGUAGCCGGCCUGAGAGGGUGACCGGCCACACUGGGACUGAGACACGGCCCAGACUCCUACGGGAGGCAGCAGUGGGGAAUAUUGCACAAUGGGCGCAAGCCUGAUGCAGCAACGCCGCGUGAGGGAUGACGGCCUUCGGGUUGUAAACCUCUUUUAGCAGGGAAGAAGCGAAUGUGACGGUACCUGCAGAAAAAGCACCGGCUAACUACGUGCCAGCCGCCGCUGUAA